AUUGAACGCUGGCGGCAUGCCUUACACAUGCAAGUCGAACGGUAACAGGUCUUCGGAUGCUGACGAGUGGCGAACGGGUGAGUAAUACAUCGGAACGUGCCUAGUAGUGGGGGAUAACUACUCGAAAGAGUGGCUAAUACCGCCUGAGAUCUACGGAUGAAAGCAGGGGAUCGCAAGACCUUGUGCUACUAGAGCGGCCGAUGGCAGAUUAGGAAGUUGGUGGGAUAAAAGCUUACCAAGCCGACGAGCUGUAGCUGGUCAGAGAGGACGAUCAGCGAAACUGGGACAGAGACACGGCCCAGACACCGACGGGAGGCAGAAGUGGGGAAUUUUGGACAAUGGGAGAAAGCCUGAUACAGCAAUGCCGCGUGCAGGAUGAAGGCCUUCGGGUGGUAGACUGCUUUUGUACGGAACGAAAAGCCCCGGGUUAAUACCCUGGGGUCAUGACGGUACCGUAAGAAUAAGCACCGGCUAACUACGUGCCAGCAGCCGCGGUAA
rnacentral:rRNA from 1 species